AUGUGAUUUUAUGAAAACUCUUUUCCAUCAAUCACACUGCUAUGGUCAUAGACUUAAGGACUCAGCUUCUUGAAUCCCAUAGGAUAACUCCUUUUUAUUAAGGUCAAUAGAUUUCAUCUUGAUGCACACCCCACUCUUACAGUGGACCAACUGUCACCAACAUCCACUAUAAGGGCUCUUUGAGAUCCAUGUUGAUGUGUCAGUCAAACUCCAACAACCUCAUUAUAAGUAGUAGUGUCAUCUC
rnacentral:lncRNA from 1 species